rnacentral:rRNA from 1 species
UUUGGGAAACAGGUUAAUAUUCCUGUACUUGGUGUUACUGCGAAGGGGGGACGGAGAAGGCUAUGUUGGCCGGGCGACGGUUGUCCCGGUUUAAGCGUGUAGGCUGGUUUUCCAGGCAAAUCCGGAAAAUCAAGGCUGAGGCGUGAUGACGAGGCACUACGGUGCUGAAGCAACAAAUGCCCUGCUUCCAGGAGAAGCCUCUAAGCAUCAGGUAACAUCAAAUCGUACCCCAAACCGACACAGGUGGUCAGGUAGAGAAUACCAAGGCGCUUGAGAGAACUCGGGUGAAGGAACUAGGCAAAAUGGUGCCGUAACUUCGGGAGAAGGCACGCUGAUAUGUAGGUGAAGCGACUUGCUCGUGGAGCUGAAAUCAGUCGAAGAUACCAGCUGGCUGCAACUGUUUAUUAAAAACACAGCACUGUGCAAACACGAAAGUGGACGUAUACGGUGUGACGCCUGCCCGGUGCCGGAAGGUUAAUUGAUGGGGUCAGCGCAAGCGAAGCUCUUGAUCGAAGCCCCGGUAAACGGCGGCCGUAACUAUAACGGUCCUAAGGUAGCGAAAUUCCUUGUCGGGUAAGUUCCGACCUGCACGAAUGGCGUAAUGAUGGCCAGGCUGUCUCCACCCGAGACUCAGUGAAAUUGAACUCGCUGUGAAGAUGCAGUGUACCCGCGGCAAGACGGAAAGGCCCCGUGAACCUUUACUAUAGCUUGACACUGAACAUUGAGCCUUGAUGUGUAGGAUAGGUGGGAGGCUUUGAAGUGUGGACGCCAGUCUGCAUGGAGCCGACCUUGAAAUACCACCCUUUAAUGUUUGAUGUUCUAACGUGGACCCGUGAUCCGGGUUGCGGACAGUGUCUGGUGGGUAGUUUGACUGGGGCGGUCUCCUCCUAAAGAGUAACGGAGGAGCACGAAGGUUGGCUAAUCCUGGUCGGACAUCAGGAGGUUAGUGCAAUGGCAUAAGCCAGCUUGACUGCGAGCGUGACGGCGCGAGCAGGUGCGAAAGCAGGUCAUAGUGAUCCGGUGGUUCUGAAUGGAAGGGCCAUCGCUCAACGGAUAAAAGGUACUCCGGGGAUAACAGGCUGAUACCGCCCAAGAGUUCAUAUCGACGGCGGUGUUUGGCACCUCGACGUCGGCUCAUCACAUCCUGGAGCUGAAGUAGGUCCCAAGGGUAUGGCUGUUCGCCAUUUAAAGUGGUACGCGAGCUGGGUUUAGAACGUCGUGAGACAGUUCGGUCUCUAUCUGCCGUGGGCGCUGGAGAACUGAGGGGGGCUGCUCCUAGUACGAGAGGACCGGAGUGGACGCAUCACUGGUGUCCGGGUUGUCAUGCCAAUGGCACUGCCCGGUAGCUAAAUGCGGAAGAGAUAAGUGCUGAAAGCAUCUAAGCACGAAACUUGCCCCGAGAUGAGUUCUCCCUGACUCCUUGAGAGUCCUGAAGGAACGUUGAAGACGACGACGUUGAUAGGCCGGGUGUGUAAGCGCAGCGAUGCGUUGAGCUAACCGGUACUAAUGAACCGUGAGGCUUAACCUC